GUGGCAUAUAAAAGGGGGAUAUAGGGGAAGGGAAAAAACAGCAAAAAUAACCCACCACCUGUUCUGGAUUUUAAAAACUUCUACCUGCCCAUUCAAUCAAUUGCUUAACAGCUGUAUUUUUAAAUUUUCACUAAACUACAGCUGUACAACAGGUAAGUUCAGCAACAUCUAGAGGAUCACCUCUUCCACAAAAUUCUAUUACUGGCCAUGGAGACUGGAGCUCUUCAAAACAAAGGCUCAGCAAUAAAAAGGAGUUGUUGGCUAGAAGGGAUAAUUCACAACAGAAUAACCUCAACAGUUUUGAAAAAUACACUACUGUAAUGAAAGUAACUGAAAUGAAAACAUAUUCUUCCCUUGCUUAAUCCAUUAUCCCAUUAUUUAGGAUCCACUGUAUUUAUGUUUAGACUCCAAACUUCUUGGGCAAUGCUCUGUCACUCUCUUUUGUAAAGCACUUUAUAGAUGGUUCUAUAUAAAUGUAAAUAAAUAUAUUUACUGGUGUGAAUGUCA